rnacentral:rRNA from 1 species
UACGUAGGGUGCAAGCGUUACUCGGAAUUACUGGGCGUAAAGCGUGCGCAGGCGGUUAUAUAAGACAGUUGUGAAAUCCCCGGGCUCAACCUGGGAACUGCAUCUGUGACUGUAUAGCUAGAGUACGGUAGAGGGGGAUGGAAUUCCGCGUGUAGCAGUGAAAUGCGUAGAUAUGCGGAGGAACACCGAUGGCGAAAGCAAUCCCCUGGACCUGUACUGACGCUCAUGCACGAAAGCGUGGGGAGCAAACAGG